GUUUGAUCAUGGCUCAGGACGAACGCUGGCGGCGUGCUAAGACAUGCAAGUCGAACGGAGGCUUCGGCCUCAGUGGCGAACGGCGGAGUAAGACAUAAGCAACGUGCCCCGAAGUCUGGGAUAUACGGUCGAAAGACCGGGCAAUACCGGAUGUGGCCCUCUCCAGGCAUCUGGAAAGGAUUAAAUGGUUUUUCGCUUCAGGAGCGGCUUAUGGCCUAUCAGCUUGUUGGUGAGGUAAUGGCUCACCAAGGCGACGACGGGUAGGGGGUCUGAGAGGAUGAUCCCCCCGAGUGGGACUGAGACACGGCCCACACACCUACGGGUGGCAGCAGUUGGGAAUCUUGCACAAUGGGGGAAACCCUGAUGCAGCGACGCCGCGUGGAGGAUGAAGGAUUUAGGUCUGUAAACUCCUUUUGCCGGGAAAGACUUAGGACGGUACCCGGCGAAUAAGCUCCGGCUAACUACGUGCCAGCAGCCGCGGUAAGACGUAGGGAGCAAGCGUUGUCCGGAUUUACUGGGCGUAAAGGGCGCGUAGGCGGUCUGUUAAGUGUGAAGUGAAAUCUCCAGGGCUCAACCCGGAAACUGCUUCGCAUACUGGCAGACUGGAGGAAGGAAGAGGUGAAUAGAAUUCCCGGUGUAACGGUGACAUGUGUUGAUAUCGGGAGGAAUACCAAUGGCGAAGGCAGUUCACUGGUCCUUUCCUGACGCUGAGGCGCGAAAGCGUGGGUAGCAAACAGGAUUAGAUACCCUGGUAGUCCACGCCCUAAACGAUGGACACUAGGCGUUAGAGGUAUCGACCCCUCUAGUGCCGUAGCAAACGCAUUAAGUGUCCCGCCUGGGGAGUACGGCCGCAAGGUUGAAACUCAAAUGAAUUGACGG
rnacentral:rRNA from 1 species